rnacentral:rRNA from 1 species
AACGAACGCUGGCGGCAUGCUUAACACAUGCAAGUCGAACGGACAUAUGGUUUUCGGAUCAUAUGUUAGUGGCAGACGGGUGAGUAACACGUGGGAACGUACCUCUUGGUUCGGAACAACUACGGGAAACUGUAGCUAAAACCGGAUAAGCCCUUCGGGGGAAAGAUUUAUCGCCGAGAGAGCGGCCCGCGGCAGAUUAGGUAGUUGGUGGGGUAAAGGCCUACCAAGCCAAUGAUCUGUAGCUGGUCUGAGAGGAUGAUCAGCCACACUGGGCCUGAGACACGGCCCAGACUCCUACGGGAGGCAGCAGUGGGGAAUAUUGGACAAUGGGGGAAACCCUGAUCCAGCAAUGCCGCGUGAGUGAAGAAGGCCUUCGGGUUGUAAAGCUCUUUUAUUGGGGAAGAUUAUGACGGUACCCAAGGAAUAAGCUCCGGCUAACUUCGUGCCAGCCGCCGCCGUAACAC